rnacentral:tRNA from 5 species
CGGGGAGUAGUAUAGUGGUAGUACGCAUGCUUUGGGAGCAUGUGGUCCGAGUCCGAUUCUCGGCUCCCCGACCA